UACAGAGGGGGCAAGCGUUGUUCGGAAUUACUGGGCGUAAAGGGCGCGUAGGCGGCCUGUUAAGUCGAACGUGAAAUCCCCGGGCUCAACCCGGGAACUGCGUCCGAUACUGGCAGGCUUGAAUCCGGGAGAGGGAUGCGGAAUUCCAGGUGUAGCGGUGAAAUGCGUAGAUAUCGGGAGGAACACCAGUGGCGAAGGCGGCUUUCUGGCCUGUUCUUGACGCUGAGGCGCGAAAGCUAGGGUAGCAAACGGG
rnacentral:rRNA from 1 species